rnacentral:rRNA from 1 species
GACGAACGCUGGCGGCGUGCUUAACACAUGCAAGUCGAACGGUGAAGCGCCUUCCUUUUUGGUGGGUGUGGAUGAGUGGCGAACGGGUGAGUAACACGUGAGUAACCUGCCCCCUUCUUCUGGAUAACCGCAUGAAAGUGUGGCUAAUACGGGAUAUUCUGGGUCUGUCGCAUGAUGGGUCUGGGAAAGAUAUUGUUUCGGUGGGGGAUGGGCUCGCGGCCUAUCAGCUUGUUGGUGGGGUGAUGGCCUACCAAGGCGGUGACGGGUAGCCGGCCUGAGAGGGUGGACGGUCACACUGGUACUGAGGCACGGCGCAGACUCCUACGGGAGGCAGCAGUGGGGAAUAUUGCACGAUGGGCGCAAGCCUGAUGCAGCGACGCCGCGUGAGGGAUGGAGGCCUUCGGGUUGUGAACCUCUUUCGCCAGUGAAGCAGGCCUGCCUCGUUUGUGGGUGGGUUGACGGUAGCUGGAUAAGAAGCGCCGGCUAACUACGUG